rnacentral:misc_RNA from 1 species
AAAGUCGUAACAAGGUCUCCGUUGGUGAACCAGCGGAGGGAUCAUUACAGAGUUGCAAAACUCCCCAAACCAUUGUGAACCUUACCUUCAACCGUUGCUUCGGCGGGCGGGCCACCGCGCCCCCCGGGCCCCUCGCGGGCGCCCGCCGGAGGUCACCCGAACUCUUGAUACUUUUAUGGCCUCUCUGAGUCUUCUGUACUGAAUAAGUCAAAACUUUCAACAACGGAUCUCUUGGUUCUG